rnacentral:rRNA from 1 species
CCAGACUCCUACGGGAGGCAGCAGUGGGGAAUAUUGCACAAUGGGGGGAACCCUGAUGCAGCGACGCCGCGUGAGUGAAGAAGUAUUUCGGUAUGUAAAGCUCUAUCAGCAGGGAAGAAAAUGACGGUACCUGACUAAGAAGCCCCGGCUAACUACGUGCCAGCAGCCGCGGUAAUACGUAGGGGGCAAGCGUUAUCCGGAUUUACUGGGUGUAAAGGGAGCGCAGACGGCUGCGCAAGUCUGGAGUGAAAGGCGGGGGCCCAACCCCCGGACUGCUCUGGAAACUGGAAAGCUGGAGUGGAGGAGAGGGAAGGGGAAUUCCCAGUGGAGCGGUGAAAUGCGUAGAUAUUAGGAGGAACACCAGUGGCGAAGGGGGCUUACUGGGCUGCAACUGACGUUGAGGCUCGAAAGCGGGGGGAGCAAAGAGGAUUAGAUACCCUAGUAGC